AUGUCGACCAUGCUCUCCAUGAACCACGUACGAGCCGGGGCUUUGAUAAUGUUGAAGCGCGCUUGGAGAACCCCGAACGCCCCCUCCACAUCCUUCCGAGCAGCCUCCUGCUUCUGCGCAAAAAGUGUAACACCCCGAGUUUUCGUGCACGGAUUUUUGGAGUAUAAAAAAAAAUUUUGGACGAAGAAACACUUGGAAUUAAAGUGCAAGGAAUUUAAUUUUUAUGAACUAUAAUUGUUGAAAAGAAGAAAUGCCAAUUAAUCAAAUAGAAUGCUCUAGACCUAAUUAUACACAAGAAAUGAAUAGCUAUGUCUUAGCUAUUCUAAAGGACAAAGUCUACAAGUUUGACUCUAGCUAGAAAUGGUAAUGGAAUCAAAGAAAGCUAAGCAUGAGUCAUCUUCUCUUUCCUUCUCAAUUUUAAGACAACCACAAGAUGCCAAGUUCCACCUUGCAACCUGCCAAGAUACACCAAAAUGGUUAUAUAUUUCCUGUCUAAGAAUCAAAGGAAAACAAAGUCUCUUUGCAAAAAUAGAGGUAAUGUGCAGAUGGUAGUAAGCAAGCUGCCAAGACAGCCUUAACCCUCCAAGUAUCACAGAAAUGGGAAGCAUCAAAUAGGACUUGAAGAAAGCCUCUGCAAUAUUUUGCUCAACACCAAAUAGGAACAAGUGGCAUGGUGUUUUGAGUUCCCUAGGAUAACCGAAAGAGGGAAAAACUCAUCCAUAGUCAAGGAAUCAAAUAAGGGUGAGAUAAGCAAGAUAUCUCCUAUCCCCAAGACUUUCACCAAUUUAUGCAUAGAAGCUUUUAUCUCAAAUUCAAAAGAGAAGGAAUCUUUAUCCAAAAUUAGCUACAAAAUGCCAAGGAAUUUGACUAUAAAUACCAGCCCCACCACCAUCUCCUUCCACACACCUCUCUAUAUUCACACGACACAAGAAGUGCAGCAAGAGAGGAAGGAGUGGCGGCAAGCUUAAGGGCAGUCCGGCGUUCGAAGGAGUCAUCAAAUGAGAGGUUAUCUCCGCGAGCUAAGGUUGGAGUCAGGAAAAAUCAAAUUAAGGAGUUUAAGCGAACAAGGUUGAGCAGUGAUGACGGCGGGCGGUGUUGAGCAUAGACGAUGAAGAUCCUUCGAUAAGAAUAGUACUCGGAUGCGACGUGUCUCCAUACACGACGUCAUCUACUCUUGACUCUUCCGCUGCAAUGUAAAAAAAUCUAGUUUGCACUCUGUUUCAUGCACUCUGAUAUAUACUAUUUGAGUUAUUUUGGUUCAA